rnacentral:rRNA from 1 species
AUUGAACGCUGGCGGCAGGCCUAACACAUGCAAGUCGAGCGAGCGGCGGACGGGUGAGUAAUGUCUGGGGAUCUGCCCGAUGGAGGGGGAUAACUACUGGAAACGGUGGCUAAUACCGCAUACUAUCAGAUGAACCCAUAUGGGAUUAGCUAGUAGGUGGGGUAAAGGCUCACCUAGGCGACGAUCCCUAGCUGGUCUGAGAGGAUGAUCAGCCACACUGGGACGGAGACACGGUCCAGACUCCUACGGGAGGCAGCAGUGGGGAAUAUGGCACAAUGGGGGCAAGCCUGAUGCAGCCAUGCCGCGUGUAUGAAGAAGGCCUUAGGGUUGUAAAGUACUUUCAGCGGGGAGGCGUUACCCGCAGAAGAAGCACCGGCUAACUCCGUGCCAGCAGCCGCGGUAAUUC